rnacentral:rRNA from 1 species
CACAGCCGCGGGAAUACGGAGGGUGCAAGCGUUGUCCGGAUUUAUUGGGUUUAAAGGGUGCGUAGGCGGCCUAAUAAGUCAAUGGUGAAAGCCUCCAGCUUAACUGGAGAACUGCCAUUGAUACUGUUAGGCUUGAGUAUACUUGAGGUAGGCGGAAUUGACAGUGUAGCGGUGAAAUGCAUAGAUAUUGUCAAGAACACCAAUUGCGAAGGCAGCUUACUAAAUUAUAACUGACGCUGAGGCACGAAAGUGUGGGUAUCAAACAGGAUUAGAUACCCGAGUAGUCCCUGUCUCUUAUACC